rnacentral:rRNA from 1 species
AUUGAACGCUGGCGGCAGGCCUAACACAUGCAAGUCGAACGGUAACAGAAAGCAGCUUGCUGCUUUGCUGACGAGUGGCGGACGGGUGAGUAAUGUCUGGGAAACUGCCUGAUGGAGGGGGAUAACUACUGGAAACGGUAGCUAAUACCGCAUAACGUCGCAAGACAAAAGAGGGGGACCUUCGGGCCUCUUGCCAUCGGAUGUGCCCAGAUGGGAUUAGCUAGUAGGUGGGGUAACGGCUCACCUAGGCGACGAUCCCUAGCUGGUCUGAGAGGAUGACCAGCCACACUGGAACUGAGACACGGUCCAGACUCCUACGGGAGGCAGCAGUGGGGAAUAUUGCACAAUGGGCGCAAGCCUGAUGCAGCCAUGCCGCGUGUAUGAAGAAGGCCUUCGGGUUGUAAAGUACUUUCAGCGGGGAGGAAGGGAGUAAAGUUAAUACCUUUGCUCAUUGACGUUACCCGCAGAAGAAGCACCGGCUAACUCCGUG